UGGGCUUUUCGAACAUGCACCUACGUUUUUUGAGCCGUGGCUUCUUUUAUAAUAAAUAAAUCCAUAAGUAGUUCAUGAAAUAUAAAAGAAGAAAAAAGAUUGUACACCACUUCACUAGACCUAUAUCUGUUUAAAUCUACUUCGAAGUCUUGAUCAAUUGGAUCAUCAAUGCUAGUCCUAUCUUUUUGAAAAAACCACACCAGUAAUGCCAAUCGCUUGUACUUAGUUGGACGG
rnacentral:lncRNA from 1 species